rnacentral:misc_RNA from 1 species
UCUCCGUAGGUGAACCUGCGGAGGGAUCACUACAGGCUUGCAAAAGCUCUGAAACGACUGUUUAUCUACCUGAAUCUGCUUCGGCGGGCGGGCCCAGGGCGGGGCAGUUGCCGCAAGGAGCCCGCCGAAGACCCCUAUACUCUAUCGUCUUGAGAAUCUCUGAGUAUAAUAUAAAACAAAAAAACAACUUUCAACAACGGAUCUCUUGGCUCUG